rnacentral:rRNA from 1 species
AGAGUUUGAUCCUGGCUCAGAAUCAACGCUGGCGGCGCGCUUAACACAUGCAAGUCGCACGAGAAAGGGAGCAAUCCUAAGUAAAGUGGCGCACGGGUGAGUAACACGUGGAUCAUCUACCUUUUAGUGGGGAAUACCUCUGGGAAACCGGAGACAAUACCGCAUAAGCCCGCAAGGGGAAAGCAGCAAUGCGCUGAAAGAGGAGUCCGCGGCCGAUUAGCUAGUUGGCGGGGUAACGGCCCACCAAGGCGAAGAUCGGUAGCCGGCCUGAGAGGGCACACGGCCACACUGGCACUGAAACACGGGCCAGACUCCUACGGGAGGCAGCAGUGGGGAAUCUUGCACAAUGGGCGAAAGCCUGAUGCAGCGACGCCGCGUGAGCGAUGAAGCCCUUCGGGGUGUAAAGCUCUUUCGACGGGAACGAUAAUGACGGUACCCGGAGAAGAAGCUGCGGCUAACUACGUGCCAGCAGCCGCGGUAAUACGUAGGCAGCGAGCGUUGUUCGGAAUUACUGGGCGUAAAGAGUGUGUAGGCGGUGUUCCCAGUCUGUUGUGAAAUCUCCCGGCUUAACUGGGAGGGUGCAGCGGAAACUAGAAUGCUAGAGGGUGGGAGAGGUAAGCGGAAUUCCUGGUGUAGCGGUGAAAUGCGUAGAUAUCAGGAGGAACACCUGGUGUAGACAGCUUACUGGACCACUUCUGACGUUGAGACACGAAAGCGUGGGUAGCAAACAGGAUUAGAUACCCUAGUAGUCC